AGAUGAAGACGUCGGGGUUUCAGUGCUCCGAUGUCCUUCACACGGCUGGGUCCGUGAACGCAACUUACGCACCUGUGUCUAAUGAAAACGGAACGUUAGAAAUGAAAACGCUCAGAUAAAACAGCAAGCGGCACAUUGAAGACCUGCUCCCGUGUUUAAACAGCGUCUGGAAGUGGCAGCACUGACAUGAAUGGGUUUUAAAAGGAUCAACAAUGACAACCCUGCGCUUGCGAACAGAGGACUUGGAUGAUGUCUUCCUCUCACGCUUCUUUUCUUUAAGCAUCAGAAGAGCCAGGUCCGUUUCUGGAUCUUUCAUACACCUCUCCAUCAGCUGCAGGGAUCAGCAUGGGCACCCUGACCUGGUUGCAGCUGCACAACCUUGAACAGUCAAGAGCUGCAGACACUGAAGUAAGUGCAUAAAUUCUCCACUAGAGGACUAACUGAUAUAAGCAUUUAAUCCUACAACUUGUUUAUUGUCUCACAUAAAUAGCUGUAUAACAGAUUAUAAGCCUGCAAAUUUAAAGUUUAAACCAUGGUAAUUGUGCCAGGUUAAAAUGUGAAAAAUCCUGAACCUUCCCUUCACUACAGGUGAGGGUGUGAUGUGUAGAGGAGUGAUAUGAACGGAGAGGCUCUAACAAAUAAUACCUGGUGCAUUAGAUAAUUCAUCUCUGAAGCGAGUGAUUAAUAUUCACCAUGGCAAAGCACUGGCAAGCAGGUCGAAGGAUCAAACACAAGAGUAAGUUAGAAAAGACGAAGAGGGGAAAAACUAAAGUCCACAUCUUACAAGGCUGAGAGCUGGACUGAAGCCUUUUAAUCACAAGUGAGUGAUUUUAGGAGGAAAUAAAAUAUCAAAUUAAAACUAUUGGACAAGCAGUCCAAGCAGGAAGACAUGAAUUUAGUAAUGAUGCCAAAUUAGACAUGGUGUGAUUACUACAGUGUUGGAAAUGAGACACAGUACUGUCUGUACUGUAGUGGGAAUGUGAUGCGCUGCGAUACUAGGAUGAAACCGUUUGCUUCACCACGUCACGCUCUCCAUCGCGCUGAACACUAGCAGAGUAAAUGUUGUGCUAAUAUGUCUGAAACCAACUCCUCCCGGUCAUUAGUGUGGUUUGAGUUUUCCUACAGAAGCUGAUGCUGUGUCAAAGAGCUCUGACCUCAUCAUCCUCCAGGCGACGCUGUGUCUCCAGGAUGAACUUGAUGUACUGGCUGGUGAGAGUCGACAGCUCACUGUAGCGAGUUCUCAGAGUCACAUACUGAAAGAAAUGGAGGCGCAGAGCAGUUAACCAACGAGGCGAUGCUAUGGGAUCCUGGAGGGCUCGAUAGGCCAAGAUCUGGAACUCGUAAUCCUGCAGGAGGGAAAACACUGUAAAAGGGACCUCACUCUGUUGUAAACCUGAACAGGCUUUCAGCGGCUCUUUGUCCACCGGCUGACGAAGACGCGUCACCGUCCGGCUCUCGCAACCAUCCAGCUUCAGACGAAGAUCUUUUAUCUUGGUCAGGUACUGCCAGGACAGAAGACUCUUCAGGUCCACAAACAUGGUCUGCCACAUGGUCUCCAGUCGCUGGAGGUUCCCGUCCAGCCUGAGGAGCAGAAAGCAAAGUUUCCCACUUGUUCACUGGAUGUCAGUGACUAAUCUACAGCCUGGACCGACUCUCACCCAGCGACGCUGUUCACUGCAUCUUUGUUGGUGGGAGGAACCAGGAAGCAGAUGGAAGGCACAGACGCCUCGCUGCCUUUGUCAUUCAGCACCCUCCACUUAUAAGGCUGCGAGUUGUUCAGCAGAGCACAUUCAUCCCCUCUGUGAACUGUGAUCUGGAAGAAGAGCACAGAUUCUUGUGAUUGGUCACUGAACUAAACUGUACUCUGUGUAUUCCUGUCAAUUUGUAUCUUUUAAGUAAAUGACUUAACUUGCAAUAAAUAUAAGCACAGUGAUGACA